AGCAGCCGCGGUAAUUCCAGCUCCAAUAGCGUAUAUUAAAGUUGUUGCAGUUAAAAAGCUCGUAGUUGAAUUUCGGGACCAGUAUGUUGGUCGUGCUUCGGUACGUACUGUCAUUACUGGUUUCUCCCUUCUGAAGAACCUUGAUGUCAUUAAUUUGGUGUCUUGGGGAAUCAGGACUGUUACUUUGAAAAAAUUAGAGUGUUUAAAGCAGGCAUACGCUUGAAUACAUUAGCAUGGAAUAAUGAAAUAGGACGUUUGAUUCUAUUUUGUUGGUUUCUAGGAUCGACGUAAUGAUUAAUAGGGAUAGUUGGGGGCAUUAGUAUUCAAUUGUCAGAGGUGAAAUUCUUGGAUUUAUUGAAGACUAACUACUGCGAAAGCAUUUGCCAAGGAUGUUUUCAUUAAUCAAGAACGAAAGUUAGGGGAUCGAAGACGAUCAGAUACCGUCGUAGUCUUAACCAUAAACUAUGCCGACUAGGGAUCGGAUGAUGUUAUUUUUAAUGACUCAUUCGGCGCCUUACGG
rnacentral:rRNA from 1 species